rnacentral:rRNA from 1 species
CCUACGGGAGGCAGCAGUGAGGAAUAUUGGUCAAUGGACGAGAGUCUGAACCAGCCAAGUAGCGUGAAGGAUGACUGCCCUAUGGGUUGUAAACUUCUUUUAUAUGGGAAUAAAAUGUUCCACGUGUGGGAUUUUGUAUGUACCAUAUGAAUAAGGAUCGGCUAACUCCGUGCCAGCAGCCGCGGUAAUACGGAGGAUCCGAGCGUUAUCCGGAUUUAUUGGGUUUAAAGGGAGCGUAGGUGGAUUGUUAAGUCAGUUGUGAAAGUUUGCGGCUCAACCGUAAAAUUGCAGUUGAAACUGGCAGUCUUGAGUACAGUAGAGGUGGGCGGAAGUCGUGGUGUAGCGGUGAAAUGCUUAGAGAUCACGAAGAACUCCGAUUGCGAAGGCAGUUCACUGGACUGCAACUGACACUGAGGCUCGAAAGUGUGGGUAUCAAACAGGAUUAGAUACCCCUGUAGUC